rnacentral:rRNA from 1 species
GACGAACCGUGCGAACGUUGUUCGGAUUCACUGGGCUUAAAGGGCGCGUAGGCGGCUUGCCAAGUCAGGGGUGAAAUCUUUCGGCUCAACCGGAAAACAGCUUCUGAUACUGGCGGGCUUGAGGAGGGUAGGGGCAGAUGGAACUUCCGGUGGAGCGGUGAAAUGCGUAGAUAUCGGAAGGAACGCCGGUGGCGAAAGCGAUCUGCUGGACCCUUUCUGACGCUGAGGCGCGAAAGCCAGGGGAGCGAACGGG